ACGGACUCACUAGGAGGACCUAGACUCUUUCAGCUUGAACUGUUAACCAAUGGUGGAAAUGCAAGAAUGCUGAAGUUGUGCCUUCAGAGCCAAUAGAGUGGAUUUGUGUGUCCCACAUGACUGUGUUUCCCCUGUCUUUCACAUGGGCAGUAUUUAGUUCAAUUCAGAACUGCAGAUAGUAUAGCGUGCAUCGCAGCAAUGGGAUGUCUGAGCACAAGUAGCUGACUUCCAGGCGACUUCAGGAAGCUCAUUUGUACAUUUCUCCUGAAUUAUCUGGGAUUCUGCACCCUUGACAUUCUCCGACCCUCCUUGUCGCUGCAGAAGGAGACAGCGACCUGCACAGCACAACAAAACUACAAAUCACUACAGAGCUACAGACCAGCAAUGAAGAGAGCUGAGGGCAAUUUGACAAACAUCAUCUGUGUCGGUUCCCCAGAAGUCGACAAAACACGUGAUUGGAUCUCCAAGACCACAAGACUCAGAAGAUCACUGUGGGAGAAGGACACCGGGCCUACCCAUUCUGUUGAUAUGACACAAAGUCCAGCCCAGUUUGGUAUUCCUUCCGCCCUGAAGGACUCUCACAUCAGGUAGUAGAAGCUAACUUAUUUCUUUGCUGUUGAAUGACUACCCAUUUUUUCCCCAGCCUUCCUCCUUAAGCAAAAUUACCAUUUUAAUAUUCUGGAGAACUUCUAAAUUGCUGCUGUCCAAGGGCCACAAUAAGAUGUGGGAAUUCCACCCAGUCUGAGGGAAGAAGGGGGCUGGUUCUGCAGACACCCACACCUUCCCUUUCUCACAGAGCCAAGGAAAGUCCAUUAGAACUGACAGGGCAUGCAGAGCACAGGAGAGAGGGCUAAUUGAGUUUAAAAGCUGUGUAGCUGCAGCCUCAUUUAGGAAAUGCCGCCAGGCUUGCUCAAGAGUUUAGUAAUAAACCUAGUCCACAAAGCAAACUGAAUGUUCAACUCUACAUGCCCAGAAGGGAGAGAAGAUCCUUUUUUCCACACUCCUAAGCUCAUGUUGUUAGCCCCUCCAAUCUUUCUCCCACAAAGUAGGAUUCCGGGAAUCAUCACCAUUUUUCUUAUCCUGAAGGCAGAACUGCAUACUGUUAACAGUUUCUAUAAUCUUGAUUACAAAUUUCUAUUACAAUAAAACAUCAGUAUCAUCACAUGAAAUCAAGAAUCUGUCUUGCUAAAUUUUGCUAAAAAAAAGUCACUUUCAGCCUAAGCCAAUUUGGAAAACAGAAAUGGCAACAGAGAGUUUCAGAACAGAAAAAAAUUCACAUUUGAUCUUUUCUGUCACAAGUGGCAACUAUAGUUGGUACAUGACAAGAUUUCUGCCCUAACCAACUGAUCACUAAGGCAUUUAAAUAAUCUGUAGAGAUGAUUUAAAAUGGGAUAACCCACAACCAGAAUAUUCAGUAUUUAAUGGAGCUAUUAAGUGUGGAAGGAACCUGGGAUCAGCCCCCAACUCAGUCAUGAAAACAUUCAAGAAAUUUGAACAGAUGCACAUUUGACCAUAGUAGGACAUAUUCUGAAAUAAUACCAAAAAUAUGGGAACAACUUCAAUUGAAGGUGUUCUCACGUGCUUUGUUCUUACUGACUCCAAGCUUUAUUCAGCUUUUAGUGUCCUAUGAAAACAGCUCCAUGAAACAGCAGAAGAAACACUGAAGCUGAACAUCCAGAAACUCUUACAUGGAUACAAAAUGUAGUCGCGACUAGAGCAAGAACUUGCACGAUUAAAUUGGAGGGUCUAGAGCCCAAGUCCAUCCAGGAGAAACUGAGGGAACUGGGGUUAUGAAGUCUGGAGGCUCAGGGGAGAAUUUAUCACUCUCUAUAAGUACCUUACAGGAGGCUGCAGCAGAGCAUAUCUGAGUAUCGAGUGUCCUUUUUUCCCAAGUAACGAGUGAUAGGAUAAGAGAAAAUGGCCUCAAGUUGUACCAGGGGCCAUUUAGAUUUGAUAUUAGGAAAAAAUUCUCCACCAAAAAGCCUGUAAAGAAUUGGAAAAGGGUUCCCAGAGAAGUGAUGAAGUCACCAUCCCUGGAGGUACUUAAAAUACAUGCACACAUGGUGCUCUGGGACAAGAUUUAAGUAGUAGACCUGGCAGUGUUAGGUUUGCUGUUGGACACAAUGAUCUCACAUGCCUUUUCCAAUGUGAAUUAUUAAAUGAAUGACAGGUUCAAAUCACUGGCUGUAUUACCAUGUACGCUGGUUUAGAUAAUGGCUAAUUCCUUCCUUACAUGACACUUAAAAUGUCAUAAUUAUAUUCUUAAAUCCAAGUGGUUCUUGCAAUCACCUGGGCCAUAUGAAUGCAUUUAAAGACUGAAAUCCAUAAUAGAGUUUCCUUCCUAAUGUAUACACACAUUCCUACAGCCACAGUGAAAUUAUUUCUACAGAUACAGCAUUAUCAGAGAGCCAAAUUGUAUCCUUGCUGUCCAACAAUUACAGCACUGGUCCACAGAGCAAAACAGGAACAUCUGGAAUUCUGUUCUUGUGAGGGCAGCUGGGACUGCACUGCUACAUCAGGAAAUGAACUGUGCUCAGGUUAUAAAAUAUACUUGGGGCUGAUCACAGAAAACUAACAACCAUCCUGGUAUUGAAGAAAUUACUUGUGUACAAGGUAUAGGGGAAAAUUUGUCAAAGUGCAUAGUGUAUUUUUCUGACAUGGAGAAAUUGUGCAGAUUCACUUUGUAUUUAAAUCCCACUGAGUGUGAAUAGCUCCCUUUCAGUUCAGAAAUUAUUUCCUAAGUAGGAAAACAGUGUGAUAACUAAGACUGAUUUUGCUAUCACUAAGGAGAGUUAUUUCACUAACUCAUACUCUGAUCUAACUACAACCAAGCUUGGGUAAAUGCUAUCUAUUACUUCUCUCAAGGUCUGCUUUGGUUUCAUCUUACUCCUCAGAGUUUGUGGCAACAAGUGCAAGACAAAUUAUUAGCUUCACUUCAGACAAAACUGAAAAGUACUGAUUGCAGUAGCCAGGAAUAGUGGCCUACAUAAAAUCUUUCUUUAUUAAUAUUAUUGAGUGCAGUGGUUUGAAGUGGCUUGGGUUUUUGUUAAGGGAAAAGCCAAGCAGGCUGGGCCAGCACUGAACCCACUACACUGAGAAAAAAAUAAACAAAGACAAUUGCUUUCAGUUGGCCAAUCGUACCAUUUUGUAUUUUAUUGACUGUUCUGAUCAAGAUUCCUUUCAAGAUCAAAACAUUCGUAAGAUUCCAUCUUUGUACAUAUUGGCAUCAGUAUUUUGGAAGAACCUGAGUUGUUCUAUGAACAACUGCACAGGUUUAAUAGAAAGCCAUUUUGAUGAUCACAGACUUGAAAGACCCUGUUUCUAUACACUUGAGACACACUAGAUAAAGAACAUGCCCAAUAAAUUACUUCUGCUAAGAUGCAAAGUUGCUAAGUUAAUACAAAAUUAAUAAGAAUAAAUUAAUUAUUCUUCUUCAAAUCUAUUUACCUUCAGUAUUAAGUAGAUCCAUGUCUACUCCAGAUGCUUUGAAUAUUAUGUAUUAUUUGUUUUUAAGUGAGAAAAGAAAGGCAUAUCUAACUACCCAAAUUCAAAUUUGAGACUUGUACUAUAAAGAGAAACCACUUUGCUGAAACUCCAUACCUAUGCCUUUAGCAACUUUUAAUAUUUUGUCAUAGCUCAUGGAGUAUACGUUGGCUUUAAGUUUUGUUAACACUGCAUGAGUAUUUUGACAAGAGUUCAUCCACUUAGCCAAAAUUAGAAACAGCUAUGUAUUUACAUGGUAUAGUACCCGACUACACAGUGAAGCAGUUUAAAUGGGGAAAAAAAAGCCUCAGUGAGAUUUACAAAGGCAUUUGAUCAGGAUAAAGAAAUAAUGCAACUAUUGUAGCAGUCUCCUGUUAGAAGUGGUGGAGCACUUUAAACAAGUUUUACUUACACAGCAUUUCUUCUUCUCUGAAAUAUGCUCUGAAAAAAGCUUCACAAUUAACAUAUUGUAUACAUUUUGCAAGGUUUUCCAAGCUCGGGAACUGUUUCUGGAAAGACUCACUCCAAUUUGGCAAAUAAUUAGAGCAAACAUUACACCAAGGUGCAUUAAAUGCUUGACAUCUGUGAGGAUACAGAAACAUGUGCUUACACACAGUUAAAUUCAAUAACAAAAACUAAGUCAAAUACAAUUUUAAAUGGGGGCAUGAAAGAAAAAGGGAAGAAGAGAGCAAGGGAAAGGACAAGAAGUUUAAGCGGUAGAAAACAUUACAACAGCCAAGUGGAAACAAAUGAGAUAUUAUAGCUGGGGUUCAGUCACAGGACUGUGUGUAACUCUGUUACAGCUGAACACCAAGAGCUUCUGGUGAAACUAGUGCUGUGUGUGACUUCAGGAAAAGGAUAAAGAAGCAUAUUCAAAAGACAACGAGCACAAAGAAAACACAGUCAUCACUACUGACAAUAGUGAAUUCUGUACCGAAUGUGUGAACAGGACAUGAGUGAGGCAAAAUAGAACCAGCCCCCUUUGCCUGGGAUUUUUGCAGUGACACAAGCCAAGCAAUCUAAACAGAAAAUGUCUGUGCUAGGAGAAGAAGACAUAAAACACUACAAAAACAAACUGCUUUCCUCAUGGAAGAAUGGUAACUUUGGACAACAUCUGGCAUUACAAGUUCAAAGGGUUAUUUCAUCUGCAUUUUAAGUACAGACCCAGAGAUUUUACAGUACUCCUGUCUCCACACUAUUGUUUUGUGUGCCAUUAAUGGCAUUUAAAUUAUAGACCUGCUGCAGCCAUGUAGUCAAAACACCACAUCACCCGAUGAGACGCUGUAUUAUAAUGUCAGUGUGUCUGUGUUUUAGCUGCGCUUUCAUAUACUCUACUUCUCUUCAAUCACCCUUUUUCUCUGCCAAAGGAUAGAUACAAGAGACAAGUCUAUCUUUAGCUCCACAAAAAUUUCUUACUCAGGCAGCUGCAACACUUCAUUCAUCACAUACCCAAGUCUCCUGUUUACAGCAAUGAAAUUUUUAGAUGUACAAAUAGUACAGAGGCAGAUAAAAAAAUCAUGGAGAACUUCAAAUGAAAAUACAGGAUAUGGCUAGGGAGUCAGAAAUAAUGUGCUUCAAAGCAAACUAAUUUCUAAAAUACAUCAAGUGGCAUUUCUCAUUUCUUUUGGGUUAUUUUGAGUAUUGGGUAUUUUUUGUAUUUACUUCCAGUGAAGUACUUAAUAUUUACUGAAAUACUGUUUCCCAGAAGCAUAAUACUGUAUGUACUGACCUUUACAUACAAAUAUCGAUUAAAUAACAACUUAUUCUUUGACAGAACCUUAAAAGAAAAUAUAUUGACAUUUCUAAACAGUUGCAUGACUAAAUCUGAAACACUUAUUUUUCUAAAUCAUACAAAUAAAAAGCUAAACUGGUCAUAGCAAGUUACUAAAGAGCUGGGUACCAAAUUCAGCAUUUUAGCCAGCAUUUAUAACUUUUUUCAAUCUCAAAAGUCUCAAGCAAGCUAUUUCAAGGUCACAAAAUUCCUGGGGGGUGUGUGGGGGGACAUCUGCUCCCAUAAGCUGCUUGUAGCCCUCAAAUGGACAACCUCCACUUGAGAUGAAGUAUUUACAUAUGGAACAAUCUUCAAGAUUCCAUUAUUUCCUACUUUCUGCAUGUGUAAUUCAUCAUUUCAAGCACUCAGAUUCUCAAAGUAUUCACAUUAAGAAAAAAAUGCACAAUAUUAAGUUAGUCAGCUAAUUUUAUUCUGUAUUGGCUUAUUUUUAAUGCCAUAUGCAAACCAGCAUUGAUUUUUUGCUUAUUAAAGGCAUAGUCUCAAUUCAGAAAAGCUAAAUAUCAGGAAUUCAUGAAAACUUUCAUGCAUGUUCUAAACUUGCCAAGAACAUCUAGGGCAACUGAAUAUAUUUAACAGUUCAACUAAACUUUUACAAUUGUUUCUGCUGAGCAGGGGAAGACAAAGCAGCCUACAGUUUUCUUCAAAAUCUUGAAAUUACUUUAAUUUUUUCGAAAUGAAAAAACUUUUACUAUCUUAGUGAUGUAGCUUCUUUAUUUCUUUGUUUUCCCCCUCAAUAUGAUGUGAUUUCUCUCCUCCUACACUCCAUUUUCAAUAUCAUCCCAAGUUACAGUGAUUUGGCAUUGGACAGAGGACUGUGAAAGCAUAACAAAACUCCAUCCAGCUUUUCACUCAUCCUUUCUCACCUUCAAACCACAGCAAAUGCCACCCCACUGCAGGCAUUGGAGAAAGUCAAGCAUACAUAGGAAGAUCCCAGAUGUUUGGGGCUUUUUUCAAGUGUCAAUAAUCAAAAGGAUAUAUUUGCUAUUCCUGACCUUUAGAACAGAAAGCUCAGUAUCAUUCAGACACAGACACUAUGGACAUAAGUGAGGUUGGAAGGGACCUCAGUCCCUCACCUAGUCCAGUGUGCUACUCAAACCCAAGCAAAACCUGGCCUUACCCUGUGCUGGGUGACUUGUCCAAAUCUGAAGUAUUAUCAAGAUGGAAGAUCGCAGCCUCUCCUCCCAUGUCAGUAAUAAUAGAAGGCAAAAUUUUAUAUAUUUACGUGAUAAAAAAUGUACAUAGGACCUUAUAUUAGCCAAUGACUGAAUUGGAAGAAAUGCACAUUUUAGCUGUAAUAUUUAACUAUUCUUUGUGACAUGUAUUCUCCUUUGUGGCAAGAAACAGCUGCGGUAUGUCAGAUACUACCCAUGGUAACUACUGCAAAAUGCACUCAAUUUACACUAGACCAUUAGAUAAUGGUGUAUUAGGUGACUUGGCACAAUCACCAAAUCUUGAUAUGGAUGAUCCUUUGCAGAUACUCUCAGUUUUUGAAUCUGACCAUAUUUAUCAAUGCCCCACUAAUAUUUAAUUUCUCUUUUCAAUUAAUUUCAUUCACUACAACUAUCUCAAAGGCUCUUAAGGAGUUGGUGGAGUCAGCCUAGACUAGAUUCAUUCCAAGUACUGACGGUUUGUUCUGACAAUUCACACAGAAAAUCCUCCUUGCACAGAAGUAAUCAUCCUUUCCUAAACUCAGCACAGGCAUUUCCAUUUAACUUCACCAAGAGGAAAGUAAAGUAACAUCAGGCCCUUUUCAAAACCUACUUUGAAGACAGAAUGUUUAGCCCAGAGCUAGCCCUGGAAUAACUAACUGUUUAUAGGCUUUUGAAUGUGACAAUUCCCCCAAAAGAAUCUGUUAAAAGAUACGCAGUUUGAGUUCUCAAGAACUGGAGAUCUUCUGCAUAGAGUUUGCCUCCUUUAGUUGAUUCAGUAAACUUGAUCUCUGACCUUUAUAUAAGGGUUAAAAUACCAGAUACUCUCUUCAGACAUCUUUUCAAAAGAUGUGGUAUUGCCAGCCAAACAUUUCAUUCCUACUCAAAAUCAGCUGGCUGUAACCUGUGUUUCAGGUAUAGAAUGAAAGAACUUGGGAAAAAGUAGAAUCCCUUUUACUCUACCCUGUGCUCCAAAUUGGGAUAUGAGGUCCAUUUUUAAACUUACUGAUAUGUCCUAUUGAUGAGGCAACAGGAAAUUCACUUACAAUAGGAAGGGGACUGCAUUUGAACACAAACCAAGUGAAAAUGAUCAGUACCCUCUGCAUUGCCUCUUACAAAUCACAAGUCCAAUGUUAGACUAUAUAUUUCCAAGCUUUUCAGGGAUAUUAAUAAUUGAAUGCAUUCCAUUUUACUCCUUGUUAUAUUUUUUAAUAUCUUUUUCCUUUUAAAUUGAAGGAAAACACCAUUUUAUUAUACAAUUUAGGAUGUAUCACAAAGAAAUGGGUGUACUACUUUUCUAGUACAUGAGUUCUUCAAUACUUGUAUAGAAAAAUCUAAAUUAAGUGUUUAAGUCAGUAUAUUUUCUAGCAGGUAUUAUUGGUGGAGUGCUGAUACAAAUAAGCCUUUACAAAAAGCAAUACAAAAAUAUUUUUGUUUUCCUCUCAGCAUCAUAGAAAGUUUUUGCUCUGUGAAGUCCAGCAAACAAACAAAAAUAUUUGACACUGUAAAAAUCCUUCUCCACUCUUGACCAUCAGAGAAAUCUAUUAUAUUGUGCCUCAAAGACCCUCUUCUAUUCAGACCAGUUUACACCUAGUCACGUUCUUAGUGACCCAAUUUUGAAUUUUCUGAUAAAAUAUUUCCGUGUAUUCACGAGUUACAAAAUUUUCAGUCAUUUCCCUGGUUUCUCCAGAUAAACUCUUUCAACCACAUCCUCUUAUUCCAACUCGCAUACAAUGAUAGCCCGACUGUCUGGAAUAGUUAAUUUCUACUGACCAAAAUCCAGCUGCACAUGUUUAAUCAUUUCCUUGCACAGUCAAGUAGCAACCACCUAUGUUCAGGGACAUGUGAUGGGACUGAAGGGGACACAAGGAGGUAGAAACUAUUCCUCCUGUCCACACUUUUCACUGCUCACCACCACUCAAAUCCAUAGGGUUGUAGAGAAACUUGCAGCAGGCCUACCAUAUCUAUGAUUUUUAAAUACUGUAAUAGAUUUAAUGAUAUGAAAAUCAAAUAAAUUUGAGUAAAAUUUAAGCUACUACAGUAGAAAGAGUUUGCAUAACAAUUCAACAAUUAAUUACUUUUUUAAUCAGAUGACUAGAUAUCCUCUGGAGGGAACAUGAAUUCUCAUAAUUCUAUUUUGCUGUUCAUCCAGACACCUCUUUUUAAGCUGCAGGUUUGGACAAACAUUUUCAAUCACAUACCUGGCAGAUGAAACAUUAUCAGUCUUCAUUAUUAAGAGUCUAUAUUUGAGUUGAAGAAAUAUGGAGAGAAUACCUGAAGAGCAAAGAAACCAAAACCAACUCCAAAAGAAAAAAGACUUUCCAAACUCACAGAAACAUCUAUACUUGCAUUCUGAUCCUGAAAAAAUACCUACUAUAGGAAAAGCUUUCUGAUCAUAAUUUUCCCAAACAUAAGAAAAGCAGGAAACUAUGUAAAUACAAUAUGAUGAGAAUGCCAAUCCUAAACAUAAUCACAAGAGAACAUCCAUGAAAAUUUUAACAAAAAAUUAUAUAAAUAGUGCACUGAAUUAUCUUCAGUUUAUAAUUACCAACUAGUCAUAAGCCACAGACACAUAACCCCUUGCAAUGCAAUUGCCCAGCUGCCACAGUUCACAACAGAGAGAGCUCCCAAGGCUAUUAUUUCCCUUUUUCCAGUGCAUUUCUGCAACAUAUUUUUGAGUUUUAUCUUCAGAGUCCAGCUGGAAGCAUGCUUCUGUUGGCAGCUAGUUUUCCCCUACAAACUCCCUCCCCCAUGAAGGGAAAAUGCAGAAUGCUGGUGUAGUGGUAGGAGAAGCAGGAAAGUAAAGGGGGAAAAUACAAUCAAGAAGCAGGAGAAGCAUUAGUUCUACAAGACCUGUGUAUUAAGCAGCAUCUUUUUAGUCAUAAUAACUCUUCAAAUGUGCCUCAUCAUAAGCUAUUACACACCACACCUCUCACAAGAAUAGGCAUGUUUGCCACGUUUCUGUGCUCUCAUUUUACAUAAGCAACCUUUGUUCUCCUUGUCUCAAAGUAACGAAUGCAAAAUCAAAUGAAAGUCAGCAAGAUUCAUACUAUAGCACAUUUGUACAAGUAGUUUUUCCAAGCAUGCCCAAAAGGCAUCUAGAGAAGAGUAACUAAAUUAAUUUCAAUUACCUGAUCUUCUGAACUAUAAACAAAAAUCAGCAUAAAGUUUCAGUACUAAAGCAGUCAAACAUGAGUAAGGAAGCUCAAAACUCAGUUCACUUCUUUCAAAGUCAAUUUAAAAGGAAAAUACCUUAGGAAAUCCCCACCUGAAAAGCAAAGUACCUCUUUAAUUAGGCAAACUCAAGUUGACAUACACAGAGUAGAAGAAAAGUGCACUUUUUGGGGUUCAGCUUUGUAGAUAGGAAAGGCUAAAACUCUCUUACACUGAAGGUAAAUUAUAGCAUACAAAAUAAAGGCUCUAAAAGGAGAUAAACUGUCUUAAGGGUUACAAGUUGCUCCCACUAGUAAUUCUCCAUAUUAAUAAUCUUUAAACAAGAAAUUUCUCUCAGAGCUGUUUUCCAACAUUUUAUCUCCAGAAAAGAACUUGUAAGAUGCAACAAGCCUUCUGGUUUUGUCUGUCUUGUUGACAGAUUAAUAAACCCUACAGUUUGCUACAUAUAAAUAUUAUUUUCUUUUAUAUUCUCAGGUUUAACUUUCAGUGUAAGAUUUAGCGAAAAGUUAAUUUACAUUCUAAAAAUCUUUUUCAGACCCUCAAAUUCAUAUGCUAACAUUUUCAGCUACCAAAGUCAUACGCAUAAAUACUGGGCUCAUGCCUUUAUAUUUCCAGAAUUAACAGUUGAAGCUAAGCUUUUUGAUAAUGGAAACGACUUUGGGGCUCUGGUUUACCUGCUAAACCUCUUCCUGGAAAACUGUGGAGCUGGAGAAAACACAUCCUGCAUGUAGAUUUCUUGGUUGUGCAGUGUCACACCUCACCCAGGAGCCAUCGCUUCAGCAGAAGGAGCAAUGUCAACUCAGACCUACGAGGAAAGCACAACACCCAGCAAAGAACACAUUAGCUUCCUAGUUAAUGACAAGAGGAGUCAACCCACAGUCAUGGCAGACAUUUCCUAAUUAGAAGGCAAAGGGGAAGAGUCUUGGAAAUAGGUUAGAGCAACCAAAGGUCUGAACUCACAGAUCAGCUAAACACUGCAGUUAUCUUCCAAGAAUCCAUACCCAAAAUAUCCACAGAGAUUUAUAUCUAGACAAUACAUAGAGCUACCUAAAGAAUUACACACAGAAAAAUACUCUCAGAAGCCAGCAGGCUGAAGAUAAUCCUCCUAAACUAUUUGAGUGACUAGUGAGAGCACAGGCCUAGAACUGCAGCCUUUAAACUUUUGCUGGCCUUAUAACAACAUGGCCAGAAAUUCUCUCCUGGAAUUUGGCCCUGAAAACACUUCUCAGCCAACUGACAAAGGAGCAGGCACUUGUACUGCCUCUCUCUGAAGAAACCACAUAUCCACCCAGGGCACAGACCUUGGAUUUCAAACCUAAACCCACCCCCAGCUACAACAAGAUAUUGUGACUGAGGGGUGCUCCCAAAUGUUUCUUCAAGAAGCAAAGAGCAAUUUAAAGAUUGAUUUGGCAAUAGAGAAUACACCUGGUAAUCGAAACACCAUUUUCCCUCAUGUUUAGGAUUUGCUCUGAUGCCUGCUCAGAGGAGCAGAAAGCAGAGGGGAAGGGAGCUGCACACACUGCCAGCCUGCUGUGCAAGACAUGCCGAAGUGAGGCUAGCGGGGCACCUCUGCAGAGUGGGGCUCAGCUCCAGCCUGGCCCAGCCAACAGAGAAGUUGUGUGGCAGAUAUCUUGUGGGCAGUGGCUUUGGGCUCCUCCAUGGUGAGACAAGCACUGAAUGGGCUGUUUUAAGCAUUCAGAUUUUUUAUUUUGGUACUGCAUGCUAAUUAAGCACCUAAGCCGGCUGUGGAGCACAUUUAACAGAAAUACAGCAGCUUGAUCUGUCUUACAGUAGGUUAAUUUUGUUAUGAUUGUUUUAAAUGCCUACUAAAAACUAUCUGCAUAUCUUAAGUGUGAUUGAAAAAUUAAUUCUAUUUCUUCUUAUACAAACAAAUGGCUCUUAGCAUUUUUAGAAAGGUCCCUGGAUUCUAUAAAAACUGGAAAUGCCACAAAGAUACAUUCGCAAUUAUGAAUAAAUUUGUUUGCACAUUUGCCAUCAGCAUUACUUUUUCCGAGAUAAUUUCAAUAUUACACCACUUUAAUUUUCAGCAUGGCAACUGUGCACAAGCAUCAUCUGGGCGGUGAAUGCUGGGGUAGCUGAACUGCUUUAUAGGAACUCUGCUGGGUGGUGUUCUGUGCAUGUGCAAGGCAGUGUGAUAUUUGCCUUGCUUAGACUUGACUGCAAGCAAACCAGUUCUUUAAAACAGAGGAAUUUCUAAAUUCACAGAGCUAAAGAUCUGGCAAGUGAAGAACUAAAUGACAAAUACCACAUCAGCUGAACAUAAAAGCAUUCCAUGUAACAGAAGAUACCCACACUUUAAGACUGGAGACCAGUUUAACUCCUUAACCAUGCAGGAUGGCAAAACAUUUGUUACAUAACAGCAACUUCACAUGGCAUUUUUACAUCCUGCCAUCUUUUCACAGGAGAACAGUAGAUUAGACUUCUACCGACUCCGAGAGACAGGGAGUGGAGCCAGCAGCAAUAUUUAGCAGAGUGACUGAUUCCUGGCACCAUCUAGCUUCUCUGCAACAGGAAUCUGGCAGCCUGGUAGGUGCUUUUCAAAGACACUGAUUGAAUAAUUGAUACUAGUGCUAUACAAAUGCUCAAGACAGCACAAGAAAGAAUAAGAAAUAAAGUAGUUUUGGGGCUUAAGACCUACUCAUUCUUUUUUUCUUCAAAUAAGGAUUGUGAGGCAAAAAUCCUGGGCAGAAUACCAAAGCCAAGAGAAUGCAGACUCUGUUCAUCAUUCAGCUUCUGACUAUGCGACUCUGCCAAAUAUCUAUAAUUUAUAUAAAAGUAUUAGACAAAAAGAAGCCAUAAUGCAAGCAAGACUAUUAAUUGUUCAUUUUCAUGAGAUAUGGUAUAAUCUGAAAAGAACAGAUUUGUUUUGACCAGUGGAACUAUUCCUAAUUCUACUCAGGAACUGCAAAAUUCCAACAAUUAUUUGUAACUAUAAGACACUGGGUUUAUAUUCAUUCACUGCGCUUAAGGGGUUUUGAAUGCCGAAAACUUCAAUCCCCCACCACCAGCUCUGUAUGGAGAACUGCUGACCAUUUGAGAAAAGUAGACAUGUUUUGUGCUGAAUGUCAAAAUUCAUUAACUGAUGCGAUUUACAGCCUUUGGAUGCUUGUGCUCUGUAAAAUUUUGCAGAAAAACCUUUCCUUGUCAGCAUGAGGACAUGUUUACAGACUCACACUUUGGCAAACUAGGAAGGAAGACAAAUAAGGUUGGUUUAUAUCCUCAGUAGAGGAGGAAAUGGCAGAGAAAAAGAAGAAAAAAGAAAAAAAAUCUUUCUGGACUAUACCAGACCAGCAAGCACAGUCUCGCCAAUUUAGAACUUUUCUCCAACUCCCACAGUGUAACUUUCUUUCCAUUUGCCUGGAAUCACCUGCAGUGUGCUUUAGGAGCUAAUCCCCACACAUUUGGUUUACUUGGCAUAGGCCCAAUAAAAGCAAGGAUUCUCAAAUGCAUUGCAAGCCCAACCCACUUUCUCACGUCGUCUUUUCAACUGCAUGUGACCACAGCUACUGAAAAUAGAAAAUUAGCUACAUUUACACACAAGUCAUACAGAGGAGUCUCCUAGAUGGAAAAAAUGGAACAUAGUUACAUGCUUUUUCCUAUAAUCCACUUAAAGUAAUAUUUCUCUCCCUCAGGGUUGUAAUGUAUUCAAGGCAGUUUCUCAGUAAAGAGGUCUAGGGCUAUUCUGCUGUCGAUUCAUUUGUGAUCAGCUCUGGUUUUGUGAUAUCACUGAAUAACUGAAAUGCAAGAGAGGUUUCGCUGUCUACGUGUUUUAAUGUAUUUCAAAGAUUCUUUAUUUAAAGAAGAGCCUUAUGUUCUCUUCUCCCUAGAUAUGUUGGUUUUUUAGACUCCACGUUUUCCAAUACUUUUGGUUAUACAAGACUAAGAAGGACCAUAUAUUUUUCAUGAGAUGGGGACAUGAGAUGACUGAAGAUUAAAAAGCCAGUAUUUGGUAUGGUAUGAAUAAGAGUAUCCAAGCAGAAAGGAAUUUCAAGAUUUAGAUCUAAGAACUCAAAUGCACCCAAUCAGAACCAUAGGCAGAAGUCUGAACCAAAAUUUGAAACUACCCUCAAAGUCAGCACCCGUUAUUUGAAGACACUUUAUACUCGCUGAACAGUUACAGAUCAAAAUGAAAAAGCAGGCAAAGCAAAAUGAGAUAACGAGAGCAAAGCAGAGAACAUGCUCAUAGAGGGCAAAGAGAAAUUGAGACAUCUGUCAUUAACAUCUGACUUGGAUAUCUCUUAAUAGGCUUAUAUUGAGUUCUAUGUUAUUCAGCUGUGAUUACUACAAAAAAUGAGAUUUUAUAUCUCAGAAUAUUCUGGAUGGGAAGGGACUCACAAGGAUCAGCAAGUCCCACUUGAGUGAAAAACCCAUAGGGGAUUGAACCCACAGCUUUGGUGUUAGCACCACACUCUCACCAUGUCUAGAACUUAAGUAUCUUGGGUGAUUGCACACUGUUCACCUGAGAGACAAACUGCCAGGAAUUGAACAGAUUUCUGUGAUAUUCCUACACUCAGAUUUCAAUCUUCAGUGAUGCUCAAAAGAAAAGCACUGGGAUUAUCAGAAGCAAUUCCCAAGUGUCAAGGAAGGAGAAUUUUUUAAUCCCUUGGUCCUUUUGAAAUUCUCUGCAUGCAAUUUCAGAGUAAUGUAUUGUUUUAAAAAGCCUGGUAGGGAAUUCUCUAGAAUGCAAAAAGUUAGAUUUGCUGAUAUGCACAUAUGCAAACCUCUAACUUCUGCAUUCUCAUGUACCAAAAGGUUGCAAAUUUAGCCAAAAAAAAAAAAAACCAAAAAAACCAAAACAACAAAAAAACCCACACAAAAAAAAACCCAAAAUAAAACAAAACAAACUGAAACCCAUAGCCACCAGAAUGUGCUACAUUUAUGUAAAUAUUUUCAGAAGACACAUUAUGCAGGUAAUCCAAUAUAAUCAUAAAGAGCUGAAUGAGAUUCUAAUCCUGACAUUAAAAUACCCAAAAUAGCUGCUUCGAGAUGGAAAAGAAGGCAAAGAACAGAGGAGACAGUUAAACUGCUAAAAGCAUUAUAGGAACCUUUAUAUUUUAUAUUCAGGUGGAGUUUAUCAUGAGCAGCCCACUCUCUUUUGGCACUGAAUAAUUCCCAGCAUUUUCAUAUCACAUCUCAGAUACACAUAUCAAAGACAACUUUCUAAUCUUGCAAGUGUGCUUAGAGCAAAAAAUACCAAUAAACUCCCCCUUUCUCCCUUGUCCUUGCCUUACUGGCCAAUACUUUUUGUUUUUAUCAAAUAUCUGAAGAAUUCUCCUCCUAGACAGAGGAGAAGACUGAAAGAAGGUAACUGAUUUGCAUGUGCCACCCAUCAUGAUUUUUAUAAAUUAAGAUCAAUUUUAUAUAUAUAUAUAUAUUUCUCAAUAACAGGCAAAAUUGCAGUUCUAGACAAAAAAGUGUCUAGAAUCUGCUACUUUUAUUGGCUUUUCAUAUGAUUUUUACAUUAGAGAAGAAUCUAGAUCUCAGAAAUCAUUUGUCUUCAAAAUCCUCCCAGUUUUUACCACAAAAGUAUGGUGAAUCACUAAGUAUUAGAGCUGUUUGUUCUCCUUCUUCACCUCAUUGUGUUUGACAUUAGAUUAGUAGUGCUGUGAACACCAUGUGGCAAUAAUACUGACCUCAAGACAGGGACCUUCACGUGCCAAGAAAAAAAAAUCUACAUUUCACAACAGGAAAAUUCAGUUUCAGAAACAUGAGACUGGUUGUACCUUUCUUUGCCCAUAUUCUAUUCUUCCUUCCAUCCUAGUCACUAAUUUAUUUCUUCUUCAGUCUUGUACUCCAUCUCCCAAACAUUCAGUGACAGCUUGUAGAACCUUAAACCAGUCUCAGUCAAUAGGUUGAGGUCAGCUGCCAGAUCCAUGGGAUCAGAAAGAUCAGAACACAUUUGUCCAAAGUCCAAGUGCAGUGCCUCAUUCAGACAGCUAUGCUGCCUGCUAGUUAUUGGGUGGAAUUGAAAACAAAAGUUAUAUUAAAAGACAGCAGGAUCAUUAUUUCUCCUUUCUGCCCCACCUCCUCAAGUGCCUGAGGUCAUUUUCCACAACAAAAAUGAAAGCCCUUCUUGAAAGUGUUUUUGUGCUAAACAGCAGUGGUUAAUUUCUUGCAACUAAUUAGUUAUUCAAGUGAAAGUAUAAUGAUCCUCCAACAUGAUUGAAAGUGCUUCAACUGAGUUUCCUGCUAACAGCAUACUUCUAGAAAAGAUGCAAUAAAUCAGCAGGGUUAUGGAAAUCUUUAAACAAAAGCAAGUCUAUGACAGGAACCCAUUAAAGAUACAGCCAUGUAAUAUUUAUGCACCUAGCUGACUUGUGCUUUUAACCCAGCACUUUCAGCUAUAGCUUUUUAGCACCUGGGUCUUAUUCAGUAAGAAUGAAAUUCACCCUAUCUGCUAAGAGCCAGCACAAUGUCUCUGCUUUAGAUGUUCAGAGUAUAGGGCUUAAGGGAUGGAACUUCCCUCCAAAUGGAAUUUCAUCCAGAUUUUUCUAAAUAAAAAUACAAAUAGAACACCUUUGAACAGCACAGAAAAUGUAAUCUGUGAGCCUCAAGCUCCCUGAUUACCUUUAGCAAGAAAAGAGGCAGGUACUGGCACAAGAAUGGUUUAUAAAUCCAAAGAGGUAUUGAUGCAGAAACAAAACUCAGAAUAGCCAGUAUCACCUAUGAUUGUUCAGAUUAUGAUUUAUGAUUAGGAGUGGUUACCACAAUGAUGAUAGGGGAUCUCUUGAGACUUUUACAGAAAGUCCUGACUGUGUAAAAUGCCAUUCACUUACUCCUGAGCCUACUAAUUCAUUUCAGAAUUUGUAUUUAAAUGUGUUGGGUACUGCAGAAAAGCAAGACCCUGUGGUUGAAUAAUGCAUUUUGAUAAUGUUUGAGGCUUCUGGGUGCUACAGAUGUACUGAUCUGUUUAAAUCUCCAAAACAAAGAGAUAUUUCCCUCUCUUUUUUUGCAUUAAACUAUCUGCAGGUAUGCUUGCACAUAUUUUUAAGCUACGCAAGUGCACAUAAAGUGAAUUGUUUAAUUUAUUAACUUAUUUGGCUAUACAUGCUUUUCCUCAUCUCAUUCACUCACUUACUUCAUUGCCAGUCUCCCAGUCAGUCUUCCCACAGUUUUAAAAGACAGAAUUUGGAUUCACAAACCAAUUUGAGCCGAGGACUCAAAUACAAUUUCCUGGCCUACCUUUCCUAGCUGCAGCAAAAGGCUGCGAAAAAGGGAAACCUUGCUGCUGUGAGGUUGGGACUCUGGGAGGUGGGAAUUGAAAGAGAAAAGGAAACCAGACAUCACUCCCCCUUCUCACUAAAAUCAACUUUGUCCUCACGAUAGGUUUUUGGGCCAAUGACCACUUUCAACUCACACCUUCUGUUGGAAAAAUAAAUUAGGAGUCCAGCUUUAUUUUGUCAAUAGAAAGUUUAAAGUGGUCACUGGAGCAAAAAGCUUUUCAAAGGGUAGCUGAGCUCAACGAGGACAAGGAGGAGGAUGUUGAGAAAGCCACAAAAACACAGGCAGAUUACAAACCAUUAAAGACUAUGCCAUUUUUCAAUAAUAAAGAUAAGGCCUUUAGAACUGUUCUGGUAAUUUGUAUCUAUUUAUUUCUUUAGAAGAAAAUGUAUUACUUUAAAAAGCCUCGUCAGAGCAGUAAAAGGUACUUUGUGUUUGUGUGUGUUGGUCUUGAUAAAAAAGAGCCACCAGAAAACAGUAAACUAACCAGGCAUUUGCUCCCUGAAUACAUGGGAUUAUGCUUCGUAUUUGUGCUGUAAAUCAUUGGAUCCUGUACAAGUAAUUGUACUGCAAUGGGUUUUGCUAUGCUAAAUAUUUAAACUGUGUGCCCAGUCCUUCAAAGUCUAAGCUUAUUCUGUGUUCAGAGCUUUUUAGAGUUGAGUCAAUAGCAUAUUUGUUUUGAAUGGCUGCUCCUAGAUAACAGUAACAAAAAUCCAAAACUUGUUUACAUCAUUUAACAUGCCUAAGAGCUUAGCCUGAGACAUUAAAAAAGCCACACAACAAGCAAGCAGAAAAAUGCAAUCCUUUAGAAUAGUCUCUACUGGUGAAAAGAAGUUACACCAUCAAAAAGCAAAAAGAAUGUUUUGCCAACUCUGGACCAAGAAUUGCUUUGUUUUUAAACUGGAGCAAUGACUGGCAUAAAAAGACUUCAAGGAAUUUCCUCUUCUCCCUGAAGAUAGUCAUGAGCCUUUCUACUGCCCCAGACUUUGUGUUGUAGUGACUGCAAGGAGAGGUGCCUCUUGUGGGUCCUAAGCAGAAGCCCUUGUUUAUCAGAGUGUGCAAAAUGUGGAAAAGAGUCAAAACAAAGCAAAUCAGGCAAUUCCAUCAAUCCUGGGAAAACUGUUCCCAUCUGAGCACUACCUUCGGCUCUAACAGGCUCUAAUAUCAUCUGUGUAGCAAAUACCCCUGGCCUAUUUUCUUACCUUGAAUUGCUACCUUAAGAGCAAGGCUUCACCAACAUGUACACACCGACACUCAUGGAGUGUUCUACACCUUCUCAAAUUGCAUUUAUGGUCUAAAUUCUGUAAAGUAAGGUGAUGUUUUUGGGAACAAAGAUGAAGCAUAAUUCCUCAUCUGUUUCAAAUUACAGAUGAAAAAUACUGAGGAUGUUAGUAAGAAAUAGAUUAGCAAGCAGAAAUUUCACAAAGGAAAAAACCCGCAGAAAUGCCAAAAUACAAUUACAGCAAAGGAAAUAAUGCAACCAGGCAAUGAUUUACCAUCCACACAUCUUUAGAAUCACAGUUCUAAUUGUUAGAAUCCAGUGCAGAGUAGUAGACACAGUAUUUGAGAAAAACAAGCCUUUCAUAUCUCUACACUACCUUGAGAGCUCCUGAUACCUAAUCUGGAAGCAGACAAAGCUCAAAAAGGUGCCUCUUUUCCAGUGAAGACGUGACUUCCCCUCCAAGGGCCUGGGGCACUGUGCCUCAAUGCUAAUAGCUUGAGUUGUGUGCAAUAGCCCUAUAUUGUUUAUAUAGCACUUCACAUGUUCAAAGCACUAUGAGAUAUCAGCCAUCACUACACUUUUAUGAGGCUGUAAGUAUUAUCCACUAAACAUCAGGGUUCAAAUGACCUGCUCUUGAUCAAAAGAAACUUUGUGCAGCAGGACCAUAAUUAUUUGAAUUUGGCAAUUCUUGCAGACCAUUCCUAUGGCAACACAGAAUGAAGAGGGGGAUGGGAUAUCAAAGCCAAUUGCUAUCACACUCUGCGCUGGCAGCAAGGUGGACACAUGGAGGAUCUCUUUAGCAAAUCUACACUCACAGCACCUUUUAUAGAAAAUUCUAGAAAAUUAUUUUACAAAUCAGGAGCAAAAGUUAAACAAAAUGUUUUGAAAGCCCACAAACAUGUUUUUCUAUACUUAUCUAUUUAACAUAUUCACUGUGAAGAACAUAAAAGACAACAUGCAAAUGAUACUGAAGUACUCCAGAAAUCCUAAAAGGGGAUUCUAAUUUCAUUCUGAAGCAGUGUGGAAGGCUUUAUAUCAAGAUUAAUAGGUAACUUAAAAACAAGUCCAUUUUCUACAGAAAAAGAACUACAGUCUCAUGCGCUAUGGCUGACUACAGUAGGACUCAACCUUUAAAAAUAUAGAAUGUUUUUGCUCUCCAUUUUUAUACAUAUGUUCUUCCUAUGAAAAUUCAACUAUGCUGACAUUUAUAUCGCUAGUCUCAAAGUAUCAUGUCUCUGCUCCUGAAAAAGAAUACAAACACAAAGGAGAUGCUGAAAAACAACCAAUCUAUCCACAGUAUAUAUGACAACCAAAUAAAGGCUUGACAUAAAUGCUAAACAGGAUAGAUGCUGAAGAUUCUUCUCUUUACAACUGAAACCACUUUAUCCAAAAAUCGUAACACUGAGAUUGAAGACAGAAUAAGAAAACUCUUAUCCUCUGCCUUUCCAUCCUGUGCUCAUCCUACCCUACAAUACUGUCUUUCCCACCUCUUACAUUUUGCCUCUUACACAGCCCUGGUUUCCACACACACCAUAUGUUUUCAGAGCACAGCUUCACAGUUAUUGGCCUUAGAACCUUGCCUGCAGAGUCACGUGGGAAAUAGAUCAUACUACUAAGACAACAAUGUAGACCACUACACACAGUCCAGAUUCAUCAAAUAAAAGGGUGCCUGUUUAAAACUAUCACAGGAAGGGGGCGGGAAAGAAAUUCUCUUCAAAGGCAGCAAUGAGUGCAGAGAGAAUUACUAACAGAACCUUUUGUGUUUUAGCCAGGUUGAUCAUGUUGCUGUGAAUAUUUACCCUCUAUCUUACAACUUUCACUUGGCAUUUUUCAGGUACAGCCUGCACACAACUCUAUGCCAGACUAUGCUUGCAAUUUCUACUGUUUUGAUUAAUAUUGCCUGAAAAGUUAAAUUACUGAAACAUUUGCUAAAAUAUUAAAGUUUAAGUAUAACAUCAAUAGGUGAGCAUUACUUCAUGGCUAUUAAUGUAAGAACCAGUUACUAUACUCCAUCUAUUGAUCUAAAAAACAGAUGUUUGCAUAUGAUUUAUGGGCACUGAAAUAUGUGCAUAUCUUCCAUAAAUAGUAAUGUGUUCCAGUAACAAAGAGUAGAGAAUUGUGAUCCAUAAGAUUGGGAAGUUGCAGGCAGUAUUAGAAUUUAUUUACCAAUUUCUUGGCUUUAAAUAAAAAGCAAAUCUCAUAGAGCCAGGGCCUGAAUCCUGUGUGCUGGAAAAAAGCUUACAACGUCAAACAGGACUAACAACAUGCUGUAAUAAAUUGCAGUUGGGCUCAAACGGGCAGACACAAAAGUCUGUUUAGAACAUGAGUGUAACUAUGAUUUGUUAAGUAAGAGUAACAAUUUAUAUUGAUUGAGAUGCAAUAAAUCCAAAUAGUAAGCAAAAAGACAAUAUUACUGUGUGCACUUUCACAUUAAAUAUGGGCUUGGAAGUUUCUUUAGUCUCAAGAUUUAACAAAAUACCAAUCAGGUAAAACUCUAAUGGGCAAAGUAUAGUUUUGAGCUCUGCAAUUAAAUUAUUUCUGGAAGCGCAAUCAAAUAUCUGAUUGAACUAAUAUCACUGCUGCUUCUCACAUUUGUUCUGUUCCUAAAUUAGCUUGGCUAAUCAGUAUCCCACCUCAUAGCCUGUGUUGUAAACAUGUAAUAUUAGCUGAUGGGUUUCAUUUCAAGAGCACAGUCAAUUUUUGGACAGCAAACUUACUCAAAAACUUAGUCAAAGCCUACAAACACACAAAGCAGCAUGUUUGGAGAUGUCACAGUUUCUGGGCUAUCAGAAUUCUGAUAAGACAGUGAACUUCAGAUCACUCUGUGAUGGCUCUUCAUGUCAAACAAAUUUUGAUUUUGUUUAAAAACCAAUUUUGUGGACAUAUUUGACCUCAAAAUAUUUUCUGUUUUUCCACCCUCUUAUUCUAUGAGCAAGAACCAGGAAUGUACGAAAAAGCAGCCUUGUAGAAUGCAGAAUUUAAACAUGGCAAUCACAAUUUUUUGCUCCUGUCUCAGGCUGGCAUGCACUAGUGCUUCAGGAUGUUAUGCAGCUGCUACUCUUCCCCAGAGAUGGCUCUACUCCAGUAAAUGGUGAAAUACUCCCUCAAACAUUUUUUUUCCAACAGAGGUUAACAGAGAUGUUUCCAUAGGUCUAAGGCAACAUGAAAACAUGAUGAUUGUGUGCUUGGAUUUCUUGAAAAACAUUAGCCUUAGAUUUACUGCAUUAGGAGCUGAUGGUACACUCCAACACCCUGCAGAAACAACUGCAGUUAGUGUCUGUAGAACACAGUCAGAGUCUUAGAUUACAGUGAUUGUUACUUGAUUCUGUUCUUGUAGUUUUUUUAGAUCACAGAAGAAACAAAUACUUUUAGUUUUGUCCUCUUGAUGGCUGCACAGAUUCUUUACUGUCAGCAUAUAACUCAAAGUCAUCUAAGAACGAAUUGAAUUUCUAAUAACUACAAUCAACUGGAUUUAAUUCCUUUCAGUGGAAGCACAGCAGUGUCAAUACGUACUGAGAUUUAGUAUUACUGCUGAUUUAUUGAAAGUAAAAUGUCAAUACAACAUGAAAAUUUGUCACUUUAGAAAGGUUUGAAAAAAAAAUAUGAACACAACACAAAAAAUUGAAAAUAUAGGAACCAAUAACUGAUCAUUCUAAUUCACUUUUUUCCAGAUGAGCAUCCAGGUGUCAGCUGGUGUAAACCCAGAUGCCACUGAUGUCAAUGGAGCUGUGUCAGUUUACUCUAGCUGAGAAUCUGAUCCCAAGUGUGCCUCUGCCAUUUUUAGAUGCUGCCACUGGAAUUCACUUUUGCAAGACAAUUAAAAAACACAUCUACACAUUGCAUUUCUUCCUGUCCUCAAGUGUUUAACUGGAAGUCUCUUGACAGACUGUGGGAGAGGGCAAGUGGGAGGUGGAAGUAGCCAACAACUGCAUCCAUGAGAUAACUUUGCAGUAUCAAUAUGAACACUGUUCCGUUGUCUUCCUUUUAUACAAAUGACUAUUUGGCUUCAGAAAGUUUUAACUCCACCUUCCACUAACAAACAAUUCCAUGUCCGUGAAAGAAAAAUGAUACUGUAAACCAAGUGAAGUAUCUACCUCAUAAAUUUGCUAACAUAGUAUUUUAAGCAAUACACAUAGAUUGUUUCAAUGCACCAUUAGAAAAAGUACCUAAAGCUGCAAGAGCCCCAAGGCUGAGUUUUGUGUAUCCACGUAAGCAAUCUCCCUGCUGCACCAGCAGUAAGAGUGGUAACAGUUCUAAGGCAACUGUUUGAAGUGGCAUGCAAGCCAGACUGCAAUCUGGCUGACAUCUUUCAUAUCUCAUCUAAUUUGUGUGGGUGAGAGAGGAGGAAGAAAGGAAAAGGUGGGGCAAUAAGCGGGGCAGAGUAGUACUUGACAGCUUUUCUAAUCACGGAGAGGGAGCUUUUUUUGCCUCUGUUUUACAUAAGACAGUUGUUAACAUGCGUGCAUUGUAUAACAGCUUCCCAGCAUUAACCACUACAAUGAAGUUGGAAUGUUGGUCUUUUGAUUCAACAGAGCAAGGUCAAAACGGAAAAGGUAAUUAAUUAGAAUGCAGCUCACAUAGUAUUGAAAUAAUUGUCUAUUUGUGCAAGAACAACAACCAUAUCUUCAAUUUAGGUCAGGCCAUCAAGAGGAGGAAAAGGACUGAAGACUGAAGAUGAGAUGCUCUACUUCACACAGUUGCCCUCUGGAAGGACUUGGAAAGGCAGUCACUUAAAUUAAGUACAGGUCAUCAGACAAGAUAUCUAAUCUAUUCCUAAGACAGGCAGCUCUUGCAGUCCAAAUCCCCAUGGCCUUUGCAGCGACACGAUGAACUACUUCCUCAUGUACCUCUGUCAAUUCACGUUAGGUUGCAGUUUUUUAAAGCGAUAUUUCAUGUACAUCAUGACCCUAUUGCUCAAAGCAAGGAAAGUGCUUUGGUUUAUUUAUGACCUACUAACCUUAAAUAAUAAUAAAAAAAAAUACAUCCAAUCUGAAUGUUCACAUAAGCCUGCAGAUCUGAAAUAAAAUUUAAAAUAAAGCUGGCCUCUGUAACAGCUAGCUAAGCCCAAUAAGGGAUUUUAAAAAAAUGAAAACCACAUGAAAGAAGAUGAAAGCAUAUUUACCCUGCAUAACCUGCACACAUCAGGAAUCAGGGCUGGAACCCAGAAAUACCUUUUGUACUUAGAAGUUUCAGCCCAUUUCACAGGCUAGGUAACCAAGGAAAUACUGAGGUUUUCCAUGAUGGGGGGGGGGGGAGGCAUUAAUAACAACCUGUGAAACUAAUUCCUUCCAAGAUGUAAUCCACCCAGCCACAAGCUCUACACAGCUCCUCUCCUUCCCCUGCACCCCAUCCCAAUUGCCAGAUAUUGGCCAGGCAAGCCCCCAUACUGAAAUAUGAAGUGACAGAUGGAAGCAGGGAAUAAGGGCAUAGGAAUGAGCACUGAAAGAAAUGGAGAACAGAAAACAAGCUUAUAAUAGGGCAGAUCUUAAACACGAGCAACCCUUAACCAUAAAGUUAAUUCAUUUGGCUAGAACAAAGCUGAACAGAUGCACAUAAGACUGAGUUGGAGAGCCUUAUUCUCUCAUCACUCAUGCCAGUGUGCAGAGGUCUUCUCCUAACAUCCACAGAAUUAAACCUUGGAAAUUUCAGUACAAAUUAAUGGAGAAAUAAAAAUAAUCACAGCUAAAGCACUGGCAGCAAAUAUCCUGUGCUGCUGUAUUGGGAAAGAAAGGUGGGCUGCCACGUUUAAUUAAAAUGUAUUUGAUUUAGCUAUAUUAAUAAUCAAAGUGGCCUUCAUAAACAAAACACAUCUAAUCCACCAUAAUAGUUGAUUCUGUUCUGGUCUAGUUCUCCAGUAGGCUAUAUUAAUGACUUUUUCUUUUAGUUGUAUUAGAUGGAAAAUACAGCUGAGUUAAAUAAUGCAAUUAAUACCUCCACACGCAGAGCAACUAGUUGAAAGAAAUAGUCAGGACCAAGUCCUUGUCAUAGUGUUUGUUUAGAAAAUAGGCUUGGGCAGCACACUGAUCAACUCCAGUCCUUUAGUGCAGGUUCCCUUAACACAAGUACAGACAAAACCCAAACAUUUAUAAAGCCUUAUAAAUAACAACUGAUGGAAGAGAGAGAGAGUAGAGGGCAUCUUUAACCAAAGGAUAUGGUAAACAAAUAAACAACAGUUCAUGUAAGUCAAUGAAUCAGUCCUGGAAUUUCAGCACACUUAAGAGUGGACAUAGCAGAAAAGAAUUCUGACAAGCUGAGCUUCAAGAACACCUGCAUAAGAACUCUGCUUACAAAUGAAAAUAAGGUAAAAUUUCUGGACUACCAUGUUUUGCUUUCUUAUCCAGCCUCUAAAACUCUUCUACAACACAAAACCUACAACCUUAAUUUUUACGUAUUAUUUAUUUUUAUUAAUAAUUAGGACAACUGAGUUGGAAAGCUCAGAAGAUUAGGAAAAAGUGCUGUGUUACUGUGGAAAUUUUUAAGAAUAAGGACUUUACUGUGUGAUGAUCAGCUGGAUGUGCACAACAUGCUGACACAAAAAAAAUUACAAUAAAUAUGGAUCAAGUCAUGAUAUACAGUCACCUUUUUUCCUCCUGAAAACUAUCACAACAGGUUCUGCAUGUGUGAAAAUUUGUAAGAAAAAAAAGGCCUUCUGUCUCUGAGAUAUUUUUUGAAAAGUUAAGAGUUCUUUAAAGAAAAUUUAUUUUUCAUCAAUCCCAAACAAGUCUUAAUCAAAUUGAACUGUGUCAAUAGAAGAAAUUUUUCUCAAUUGAGCAAUCUCUAAUUGGCAACACUAAUUUUUAAAACUCUUAGCCAGCUCUGUUCAUUUAUGGGAUCUCAUGUUUUUUGUUUUACUGUGAAGUUCAGUCCUGUGAAAUAACAGACAACAUUAAUCCACUCGUGCCUGGAUCUCUAACCUUUAUUUUUAAAGUCUGAGUAAGAGAAACAUAUUUUCUUUUCAUAGAAAGAAGUCUGGGAAACUGCCAGCUCCUUGCAGAAAGACGGAAACAUGAUCAGCAGAGAAGGGUGUUGGUGUCGGUAAGAGAAAAAUGAUUCAAGUUGCAUCAUCUAUAUAAUUAAAAUCACUGUGUGAAUUUUGAUUUUCCCCCCCUACUUUCAGACAUUUGAGGAUGCACUCAAGUCAAUGGAGUUCUGUUGUAGUGGUUGCUUCAGUGAACAUUCAACGCUGUCGGCCUUAACACCGAAGAUAGCAACCUAACCAUCAUAUGAUGUUUCUCCCUCACCCUGCCAAGCUUUACAAAAAGGUCACAAUCAACAUUCAUUGCUGUCGGUGGGUUUAACUAUGUGGACAAGCUCACUGAACAAUGAAUGCAACUGUGGCCCCACAUUGUACAGUUGCUGUUGAGAGGAGCAGCAGCUCUGAAGGCAAUAGUGAGAAGCAAACACUUCUUAUAAGCUACAGUUCUCUGGUCAGAAAAAUAGUUGGGGGUAUCCACUUUUUGCUUGCUUGGUUUUGAGUGUGUUUAACUUAGCCAACUAGGAAAAAAACUUGCCGCCUUUUUCUGGAGUGUCGUCCUCACAGGGUUCAGUACCAUUGAAAAUGUGAAAAUUCUUAUUUAGUAUGUAUGCAGAAAAAAUAACAGGAUAGGAAGCUCUGUAUAUCCACUCCUAAGGAUUCUGACAUACGAGGAAAGAAUAUUUAAUUGCCAUUUAACUAGGAAUUGUUGAAGAGCUCAAAAGUUUAUUCUAUACUUGUCAUGACAAAUACAACUGGGACCAAAUGGGAUUUAAGAGUUAUGAAUAAAAAUGUUGCAUCAAAAAAUACAAAUUAAUUUUACAUUCAACUGAUUUUAAGAACACAAAUACUAUUGCAUUUGCUAUUUUUAGGGAUCUGAAAGAUGACAAAGAAAUGUAUAUUGAGAAAUAAUAAUGGAAAAGCAGUUAAAAUUUAAAGUUACUGUAAACUGAGUACCUAUGUUUCACUCUCUGAGUUUUGCAAUAAGAAAAUAAAGUGUAAAUAAACUCACAA